UACUGUACUGCACUUAAUUAUAAUGAAUAAAAUAGAAUAAAAUUAUUAUAAGAGGCACACCAAGCAUGACAGUUUCACAUUAAACAAAACGGAGAUACCAUAUUUAAAACCUUCAAAAGUGCCUCGUCCUACCAUGCUUUGAAUUUUGAAUUGGAAUUUUUUCUUCAACAACCGCGGAAUUUGACCAUUCCUUAAUAUUACUCCAACAAAACAGCACCCCUGUGGUGGUUUCAACGAGCCAACGAAUAUUUCAUACUGGUACAAGCAAACAUGCCCUGGGAACUGCAUGGAGUACGCCCAUGAUCCCAACUUCCCUGCGAAAAAGAAGCGCGAUGAAAGUGUGCUAUAUGGGAAAGGCUGUCAAGGAAAAGCCAGACCGGAGGAUAUCCAUUAUGAAGGGCUAGGCCAUCCAGAGUACACAGUAGGAUGCCAUCAAGCGGGCAAUGGACAUCAGUAUUGCGUUUGCGAUACUGAUUUCUGCAACACUAGGAACGCAACGGAAAUAACACUGGUAUCGAAUAAUGUCCGCCCUUGGCUACCAGUUCUUUAUGUGACAUGGAUUAUUAUUUUGACGCUGGGGCAAUCAGGGAAGUGCCCGACAUGUAUUUAGAUAGGUUUUAAUUACUGUUGUAAAUCUAGCGGUUUUACUUCAUUCAACAUAAUAAAAUCCGCCACCCCUGG